AACGAACGCUGGCGGCAUGCCUAACACAUGCAAGUCGAACGAGAACAUCGGGACUUGUGGCGCACGGGUGCGUAACGCGUGGGAACCGGCCCUUAGGUUCGGAAUAACUCCCCGAAAGGGGUGCUAAUACCGGAUAAUGUCUUCGGACCAAAGAUUUAUCGAAUUUGGAUGGGCCCGCGUUGGAUUAGCUGGUUGGGAGGGUAAAAGCCUACCAAGGGGACGAUCCCUAGCUGGGUUGAGAGAAUGGUUAGCAACACUGGGAGUAGGACGCGGCCCGGACUCCUACGGGAGGCAGGAAAGGCGGAUAUUGGACCAUGGGGGAAGGGAUGAUCCAGCUAUGCCGCGUGAGCGAUGAAGGCCUUAAGGAUGAAAAGCUCUUUUACCCGGGAUGAUAAUGACGGUACCGGGAGAAUAAGCUCCGGCUAACUCCGUG
rnacentral:rRNA from 1 species